rnacentral:rRNA from 1 species
UACGGAGGGUGCGAGCGUUGUUCGGAUUUACUGGGCGUAAAGGGUGCGUAGGCGGAUAUAAAGGUCAGAUGUGAAAUCCCGAGGCUCAACCUCGGAACUGCAUUUGAAACCGUAUGUCUAGAGUAUGACAGAGGAUGAUGGAAUUUCUAGUGUAGCAGUGAAAUGCGUAGAUAUUAGAAGGAACACCAGAGGCGAAGGCGAUCAUCUGGGUCAUUACUGACGCUGAGGCACGAAAGUGUGGGUAGCAAACAGG